CCUACGGGUGGCAGCAGUGAGGAAUAUUGGUCAAUGGACGAGAGUCUGAACCAGCCAAGUAGCGUGAAGGAUGACUGCCCUAUGGGUUGUAAACUUCUUUUAUAUGGGAAUAAAAUGUUCCACGUGUGGGAUUUUGUAUGUACCAUAUGAAUAAGGAUCGGCUAACUCCGUGCCAGCAGCCGCGGUAAUACGGAGGAUCCGAGCGUUAUCCGGAUUUAUUGGGUUUAAAGGGAGCGUAGGUGGAUUGUUAAGUCAGUUGUGAAAGUUUGCGGCUCAACCGUAAAAUUGCAGUUGAAACUGGCAGUCUUGAGUACAGUAGAGGUGGGCAGAAUGCGUGGUGUAGCGGUGAAAUGCUUAGAUAUCACGAAGAACUCCGAUUGCGAAGGCAGUUCACUGGACUGCAACUGACACUGAGGCUCGAAAGUGUGGGUAUCAAACAGGAUUAGAUACCCUUGUAGUC
rnacentral:rRNA from 1 species